GUAUUUCAUCUAUCUUUAUAUUCUGAGUUCAAAUUCCGCCGAGGUAGACUUUGCCUUUCAUCCAUUCGGGGUUGAGAAAUUAAGUACCAGUCGCAUACUGGUGUCAAUCUAACUGACUGGUCCCCUCCGCCAAAAUUUCAGGCCUUGUGCCUAGAGUAGAAGAGAAUAUUAAUUAACCUUGAUUUAAUAAAGCGGCAAGCUGGCAGAAACGUUAGCACA